ensembl:lncRNA novel transcript
GCGGAGGCGCGGGCGGCCGGCUGCCGCCUAGUUGUGCAGCCCAGACCAAGGAAAGAGAAGUGGGAGGAGCGGGGAGCUCGGCGUCCCGCGUCCUCCGCGGCUCAGGACGACUACGCUCGGCACGUCCGGGACCCUCCGGCCGUGGCGGUUGCAGCGCCAAAAGCUCGGGCCUCAGCCCCUGACGCUGUGGUGACUCCGCCGCGCCUCGCCGUCGCCCCUGUCCCCGUCCUGCCCGCCGCCUCCGCCGCUGGGGACAUGUCCAACCCCGGAAGCCGGAGGAACGGGCCCGUCAAGCUGCACCUGACAGGUAUAUUGAAAAGUCUGAUUCAGUUACAAUCAGUGUAUGGAAUCACAAGAAGAUCCAUAAGAAACAAGGUGCUGGAUUUCUCCGUUGUGUUCAUCUUUUUCCAGUGCCAUCAACCACCUCAAAGACACUGGUUGUGAGUAGAUACUACUGCUUUUCAAAUUUUAUAUAUAUAUGUGUGUGUGUGUGUGUGUGUGUAUGUAUGUGUGCAUAUACAUAUGUGUGUGUGUAUAUGUAUGUGUGCAUAUACAUAUAUACAUGUAGUAUAUAUGUAUUCUCAAAUAUAUAUGAAGGAUAUAUAUAUUUGAGUAUGUUGGUAGGGGUUCAAACAUAACUUCUUGUGUAUGUCUGAAACAUUGGUAAAAAUUCCUGGUCUAAAUUUAUUUUGUAGACUUAAAAAAAAUGAAACGUUUUAAAUAUGUGAAACUUACAGCU